rnacentral:rRNA from 1 species
AUGUCCUCUACGUUUCUGGUUGCGUUGUGCCAAGCCAUCGACCUGCGCCACCUUGAAGAGAAUGUCAAGAACGCCGUCAAGAAUUGUGUCACAAGAGUAGCCAGGAAGACCCUGAUCACAAAUGACAUGGGUGGCCUCCACAACGCUCGUUUUUGUGAGAUGGACUUGCUUCAGACAAUCGACCGGGAGGCGGUGUUUGCAUACGCAGACGACCCUUGCAGCGCCAACUACCCUCUCAUGAAGAAGAUGCGUGCGGUGCUGGUGGAGCACGCCUUGGCCAACGGCGAGGCUGAGCGCAACGCGGAAACCUCAGUGUUUGCCAAGGUUGCUACAUUCGAGCAGGAGCUCUGCGCGGCACUGCCUCAGGAGGUCGAGGCUGCUAGAGGUGCAGUGGAGAAUGGCACCGCCGCAGAACCGAACCGUAUCGCUGACUGCCGGUCAUACCCUCUGUACCGGUUCGUGCGCAAGGAGUUAGGGACGGUGUACUUGACCGGAGAGAAGACACGGUCACCUGGGGAGGAGGUGGACAAAGUGUUCAUUGCCAUGAACCAGGGAAAGCACAUCGACGCUCUGCUGGAGUGCCUGAAGGAGUGGAACGGCGAGCCUCUGCCUAUCUGCUAA